rnacentral:tRNA from 1 species
GGAGAGAUUCCCGUAGUGGCCUAACGGGGCCCGGAGUUCUUCCGGUCGGGGCUUGCGCCCCUCGCAGGUUCGAAUCCUGCUCUCUCCG